AUGAGAGGGAGGAGUUGGAGCAGGCGGUGGACCGGAGGAGGGGCAGGCCUGUAGGUCUCUGGGCACCUAUAAUCUGUAGCCUCCACUGUGGAUGGAGGCAAAGGAGGAUGGGGCAGGAUAUUCUUCGCCCAGCCAUUGAGUUAUCUGACUAGUUUUAAAAUAUUAAGCCUGUCUGGUGUUUUCCCUUGGGGGCUGUUGGAGUUAGCCGCAAGAGGUUGAGGGAGCUCGGGCAGACCUCUCCAGAAAGAGCAAGGGUGAUUUUAAAAUGACAAGCAAUACCUAACACUGCUGAAUUUCUCACAAUAUCAGGACCUGCCCUUGAUUCCCUCAACAUUCCAAUUCUCAGUCCUUAUUGAUGACUUUAUUAGUGAAUUGGCUGAAAGGUCGAUCAAUGUGAACAAAUUUAUGAACCCACAAGGAAGAUGAAGUCCCUGAGGGUUUCAGUUAUCUACAAUUGCGUAUACCACCCAAAGCCUCACGCUAUUCUAGGUAAACAAACACAGAGCAAGUGUUAGGCUGCCUAGUGUGUGAUGACUAGAAGGGUGCUUUUUCCCUCCUCAACUCGAGAGGGCAACUGCAGUCUGGAAGUCCACUAUUUCAAAAGUCCAUGCCUUUGGCUGAGAGCAAAACAUUAAGCCACAUUAAACUGAACACACCCUGGCUAAAACCUGAUGACAGCACACAAGGAAGCUUCUUGAGGAGAAGUAGAUCCCACAGCUGCCUUUCCUUCAGAGAGAGGCCAGGAAACAUUUCGUGCAUCCUCUUCUGGCAUUAACAACAGAGAGCCACUGAGGGGCAUUGAAAGUCAUACUACGCCAUCUGCUGGAAGUUACCUGAGGAGCUACAGAAACUAUCAGAAUCCUAUGUCUCUGCUUGCAAUGAAAUUCCCGUAGAUCUAUUUUCACAGACUGAAUCAAUGACAGAACCUGUUAUUCAAAUGCACUAACCAGGCCCUGGGGAAGCCCAGUGGGCCCCGGAGUGAACAAAACCAAAACAGAGGACAUGGAAGAGGAAUGGAGACUUUGUGGAAAACAGAAAAUGGCCAACAGAGGCAGAGAUGCUGCUUAAGAUCUGGGGCGUUGGAGAAUGCCCCCUCCCCCCCACUAUACAGAAUCUAGCAUGCAAGGAGGUGGACGCUUGUCGGAUGUCAGGCAGUAGCUGGCCCAAGGUAAGAACGUGCUACAGGGAGAGGACUCACUUGCUACUGCUCCUAGGUCUAACUGUAAACCCUGUGCUCACUGCAGGAUGAGACCCCACAGUUAGAAAUGAUGAUUUGGGAACAUCAGUUAUCUUAGGGCAUAUUUACAACACACGAGGGCUCCCCCUAGUGGUGAUGAAGAGAAAAUCUGAAACCUUUCUCCCACACAGACAGUGAACUGAAAACGUAAUGAUUUUUGUUUCCCUUUAAAUCGGUGUCUAAAUAGGUGGAGUUUGGUCUUAAGGCAGGUGUUCUCAACCUGUGGGUCGCGACCCCAAGCCCAUCAUAAAACACAAGAUAUUUACAUUCUAAUUUAUAACGGUAGCAAAAUUAUAGUCAUAAAGUGGCAAUAUAAGUAAUUUUAUGGUUGGGGUCACCACAACAUGAGGAACUGUAUGGAAGGGUCACAGUACGAGAAAGGUUGAGGAACACCUGAUUAAGGUGAUUGCCCUAACCACUGUAUUAUCUCUGUAGCAUUCGUUUCAAACCACAGUCAAGCUGAGCCACUGUGUAUUCUCAUCAAGCUAAGUGAAGUUCACUCAAUAUCUGUUGAAUUAAACACCAGUAAUUUCUCAUUUUUAGUUCACAAACAUGUUCUUGAUAAGCUAUUUCUACAUCAGUAAACUGAGUCAAUCCAAGCCAGAUUAGAGUAUGUAAAGGCAGGUUCAUCGGGAAGCUGCUCUUAGAAGGGUUCAGCAGUCCCUAGGAACUAGGCCAGGGAAAUCACCAUGGGGAGAAAAAGAGGAGAGAGGGAACAGAAAGAGAGAAAGUGUGCACAGAGGGAGAAGAAGAGGGAGACCCAAAUGUCUGGAUUAUAUAGGAAAUUGCCUCUGUGGCAGGGGAAGCCCAGCCUUUGGGCUGGAAAGUUCAGGGUAGAAGGCAGGGUAUGCUAAAUAGGGACUGAGGAAUGCUGGGAGAUCCUGGAGGCCAGGUUCACUUUGGUUUGUAAAAUAUGCACCUCGGCUGUUUGUCCUGUGUCUGAAUCCCAACAGUUAUAAAUAAUGACACAACCUACCAGUUUUUGCUUGCUUUUUACAAAAUUAUCUUUUAUUCAGUUUUGUUUUCCAAAAUUUCUACUAGGUUUGUUUCCGAUCAGAGCUUACCACGCACCUCCUUGAUAGCAUGGGAUUUCCUUGAGAGGAUGGGAUUUUUCCGAUGUUUUCCAUAAGAGACAUUGCAAGAUUGGCAACAUGUCUAUAUAAUCAUGUAUACAUCUAUGUAAUAUUGGACACUACAUCUAUAGGUUGUAAAAUAACUCAAGAUUCCUUUUCUUCAUCAGUCUCCCCCUUCGCCUCUAAAGAACUUCAGGCACUAUACAAGUGCAUCAAACUGUUGUUGCGUAUAGAAAAGGGCGAGCCCUGGUGAGUUGUGUAUGCUUGUUGGGGUCCAGCUGUGGUUUUACGUCCUUCACCUCCUCCUUCUUGGGGUGUCCAGACACUAUUGCACGCUGGGCUGGAAGGCUGAAGUGGAGUCCAGAGCCCGUGGGGAUCUGCAGAAGGGGGUGGGGGAGGCCUUUCCCAGGAGUCUCAGUGUUACAGCUCUUUUAGACAAAGAUCUUUUCCUUCUCUAACGAUCUUCAAUGAAACAGCUCUCUUUGAUCAUUUUAGUUUGUGUGCAUAUCUUUAUCUGGAGUGGGCUUGUACACAUACACUUUAUUGGAGUGGACUAGGGCUUUAUAUUUAUGAACCUUGGAGAGUGGGAAGGGAUUCUCCGGGCAAAGUUUCAUUGGUUGGAGUUUAAAGUACCGGGAAUGCUUCAUUGUAUGGAGAGACAUUCCAGGAAUCUCAAGUACUUGCUGGGCAGGUUCUUAUGGGGAAAGAGGAAGUUGAACUUGUAGGUCUGCCAAGGACUACUUGACCUUCCCCAGGUAGAAGGUAUGGUGGGGAGGCCUUGAUGGUAGUAAGGGCAGUCCUCCAUUUUGCACCUAGCUCAGAGGUGCUGUCUGGUCACAGUAGACUGCAACCUUAACGAGCAGGAUUUCCCCACAAGUUGUAACAGGUGCUCAGUUCUCAGUGAAUGCUGACCAAACAAGAAAUGUAUUGGAGGGGGGGGGGGGAGCAGACUUUAAAGUCACAAUUGAAAGGAAAACACAUUCAAAUUGCCUUCUAGCCACUGUGAUCUUUCAUGUCCCCAGAUUUACCUGAAAGCAAGUAGCUUUUGUGAUGAGAGACUACAUUGUAGUGAGCCCUGGUGGAUUGUUGUCAAGUGCAUGUUGGGGUCCAGGUGUGGGUCCACAUCCUCCACUUCCUCUCUCUCAGGGUGUCCCAGUUACUGUUACCUAGAUGCUCAUGUCUGUACACCAUACACACACACACACACACACACACACACACACACACACACACACACAAGAGAGAGAGAGACAGAGACAGAGACAGAGACUCAGAAAAAGAGAGAGACUCAGAGAGAGACAGAGACAGGGUGAAAAAUAGUCACGGGGCAGGCAGAGAGACAGAAACAGUGAGAAAUAGAUAGGCAGGCACGCGCACACGCACACACACACACACAUACACACACACACCCAUGGGGGGGGAGAGAGAGACUCAGAGAGAGAGACACUCAGAGAGAGACAGAGACAGGGUGAAAAAUAGUCAGGGGGCAGGCAGACAGACAGAAACAAUGAGAAAUAGGCAGGCGCACACACACGCGCGCGCACACACACACACGUUGAGGUGGUGAAGAGAAUACCAUAUAUAAUUGCUGUUUACUUCCCCAGGGUUCAGGCAUUAGAAACUUGGUCUCAGUUGAAAACGUUGAAAGGUUCUACCCACUGUUGAGGAGUGGGGCUUCAUGGAAGGUGGUUUAGGUCACUGGAGGCAUCACCCUCAGGAGGGGUUGGUGUAUUAAUUUUUAUUAUCUGUUCGAUGUUUAAUGCUUUUUAUAUCAAGCAUUGUCCUUUCCUUUUCAAAUUGAGAACAUAGGAAACUGGAAAGGUUAAGUAAGUUGACCAAGGCCACACUGCUACUAAGUGGCAUAGCUGGGAUUCAAUCGAGUCCAUUUGUCUACUUGCCCAAUGUUUGCUCACGCAGCAAAUAUUUCUAAGCGCAUACCAAGGACAUGACACUGAGGAGACUAUGAGGAUGGGGAAAGGGAAACAGAUGUAUUCUUUCAAAGUCACUGACAACUUUUAAA